UACGUAGGGGGCCAGCGUUGUCCGGAAUCAUUGGGCGUAAAGCGCGCGUAGGCGGCCAGAUAAGUCCGGUGUGAAAGUCAAAGGCUCAACCUUUGAAUGCCCGCUGGAAACUGCCUGGCUUGAGUCCGGAAGGGGCGAGUGGAAUUCCUGGUGUAGCGGUGAAAUGCGCAGAUAUCAGGAGGAACACCAAUGGCGAAGGCAGCUCGCUGGAACGGUACUGACGCUGAGGCGCGAAAGCGUGGGGAGCGAACAGG
rnacentral:rRNA from 1 species